rnacentral:lncRNA from 1 species
CGCUGAUCCACUUUCUACCAGUCCAGGCCUGCUCCCGGGCCCUCCCCAGGCCCAGCACCCUGACCACAGGUCACCCAGCCUCAGCUUGGACACUGCCCGCAUCAGGGAGCUCAUUGCUUCCCAGGCAUGUGCUGUCAGAGGUUCUGAAUGCCAGCAGGUUCUUUCUUACCCUGAGCCAAAGGUUGGCCUCCCGCUGCCACCUCUGCUCCAUAUUCCCCCUCCAGGGCCGGGCCGUACCCACCUUCCCAGCACCUCUUCUGCCAACCCUUCACCUGCGAGGACCGAUGCGGGUCACCAGCUCUUGCACAAGACUCCCAGACUGCCCCCAGGUGCCUGCUCCCUGGACCCUUUUGUCGACAUCACCAUAAAAGACGCAUACAGCUAAACCUGGGCCUCACCCUGCAGGAAGGUCUGGUCGGGAGAAGAGGCAGAGACCCCACCGUCUCCCUGUGUCAACACUGCCCUUCCGGCUUAGAGACGGUCUUUUUCUCUCUUAUGAUGGGUGAAGGACAUACCUUCUCAACCCACUGCGCCGACUGGGCAACUAAGGCACAGACAAAGGAGGACUGGAACUCAGGUUGCACAGUGCCAGACAGCAAGUGGAAGGCCAAGGUGAGAAUGAGGUCCUCAGAGCGGGGGAGAUGCCCAUGGUGGGCGGGUCCAUCUGCAGUUCAGCUCCUGUGAGCCCCCGGCACAGAGUCAAACCAUCCCCCCUCUGCAUCUUCCUCUGGAGUACCUCUGCCCAGGCUGUGCCCAGCCCACCGCCCUCCCUGUGGGCCCAGCUCACACGGCCCUCCUCGCUGGCCUCUCCUGCCCCUGCCUGCCCGAGGCCAUUACGCGCUCCUCUGAACUCCUCUGCAAUUAUAAUUUCAAUAAUUCAUUUGGCAAUUAAUCAUAUCUAGCCUUGUGACAUCUCUUCUAUUCCAUGUUGAACUGUUAUUUAGAAGCGCAAUUGUUUAACUUCCCAUGAGCAGCAUAUGCUGCCUCGCUAAUCUAGUCGGGGUUUUUGUUGUUUAUUUCCUGGCCGUCAAUCAAGCCAGGAGAUGCUCGAGGCCCACACUGGGGGGUGGGGGCCGGAUGGAGGGUGAGCGG